rnacentral:rRNA from 1 species
CAAUAGCGUAUAUUUAAGUUGUUGCAGUUAAAAAGCUCGUAGUCGGAUUUUGGCUGAGAACGAUCGGUCCGCCGUUAGGUGUGCACUGAUUGGUCUCAGCUUCCUGGUGAGGAGGUGUGCUUCACGGCCACUUAGUCACCGUGGUUACUUUGAAAAAAUUAGAGUGUUCAAAGCGGGCUUACGCUUGAAUAUAUUAGCAUGGAAUAACACCAUAGGACACCUGUCCUAUUUCGUUGGUCACGGGACGGGAGUAAUGAUUAAGAGGAACAGUUGGGGGCAUUCGUAUUUCAUUGUCAGAGGUGAAAUUCUUGGAUUUAUGAAAGACGAACUUCUGCGAAAGCAUUUGCCAAGGAUGUUUUCAUUGA